rnacentral:rRNA from 1 species
UACGUAGGGGGCAAGCGUUGUCCGGAUUUAUUGGGCGUAAAGCGCGUGUAGGCGGCCAGGUAGGUCGGUUGUGAAAAUUGGAGGCUCAACCUCGAGAUGUCGAUGGAAACCGUCUGGCUAGAGUCCGGAAGAGGAGUGUGGAAUUCCUGGUGUAGCGGUGAAAUGCGCAGAUAUCAGGAGGAACACCUAUGGCGAAGGCAGCACUCUGGGACGGUACUGACGCUGAGACGCGAAAGCGUGGGGAGCGAACAGG